UACGUAGGCAGCGAGCGUUGUUCGGAGUUACUGGGCGUAAAGAGUGCGUAGGCGGUUUUCUAAGUUUGGUGUGAAAUCUCCCGGCUUAACUGGGAGGGUGCGCCGAAAACUGGAAGGCUUGAGUAUGGGAGAGGUAAGCGGAAUUCCCAGUGUAGCGGUGAAAUGCGUAGAUAUUGGGAAGAACACCAGUGGCGUAAGCGACUUGCUGGGCUGUAACUGACGCUGAGGAACGAAAGCCAGGGGAGCGAAUGGG
rnacentral:rRNA from 1 species